ACUGUAACUAAAUGUUUAAUUAUGUGGCGUCCAAAGUGGGCGUUGUCAUUACCAUACGGUACCUAUAAAUUGCUGAAAUUUGAAGAAGAAUCUACACUACCAAAAUGCAGCCAUCGACGAUUGUAUUCGUGCUAACUGUAGCUUUCGCUGGAUACCAGCACAGCUGUGGAUAUGAAUUUGUACCACCAUUCGGUCUUCCAUUCAUUAGUCCGCAAGAUCUGCCGCCAAACGCAUUUUCCCGGGUGGUAGUAGGCAAUUAUCCUGUUCCGAUUAUUCGAUGGGGACCACCAAACUCCUAUCAAGAAAAGCCACCACACCCUGAUAAUAGAUAAUGAAGCAGGUUACAAUGUCGGUGAAUUUUCAACUGAAAUGCAAUCAAAAUGAAAAUAAAUACAUUGGGUACGUUAUA